rnacentral:lncRNA from 1 species
UGCGCGCGACGGCGCCGCCGGACUCCCCCGGACCGCGCUCCCGCGCACGCCUGACCGGAGCACCCCGCUUCACGGGGGCGUUCUGCGCGUCCUUCCUCCCCGGCUGCCUAGAUCACACGGCCCCGUUUCAUUCAUUUUUACUGAAUAACGGUCGUUGGACAAUUUAGAGAAGCAGCAGAAACCACGAGAAAAACAGUGGAGUCAAACGGCGAUUUCCUCAAUCCUCUUUUUUUGUUUCCCUUGCAUUUUUUAUGGGAGAAACUGAACGGUUUGUUCUGAAGAAGUUGACAUUCUGGACUUUGUAGCUGCAGGUACAUGGGCUUCUACAAUUUCGUCUAUUUCAUCCUGCAGUUAUUUUCACGGGUCUCUGUGUCCACCACUAUCUGGAAUCUCUGAGAUGGCGCUGUUGUAGGAGCAAGGUAUACAAUGAUGAUCAAGGCAGAUGCAGCCCUUACCUUCAGGUCGUGGAGUCCGGAUACAGACUGGAGGCAGAGGCAGCUGUAAGAUGUGUGACAAAUGCUGCGCUGGAUCAGCCCAUGGUAUUAGGAGAGCAGCUGAGUGCCACGUGCUGACAUCACUAAGAUCAAUACAGCAAACUCUGAAAGAUGGACGGAGAGACAGGAGAUGGUCCUUUAUAAUGCAGUGUGAUCUGUGCUGCAAUAGAGUUUUGGAAGCUAGAAGUUCAAAACGAGGUGUUGGCAGCACCAUGCUCUCUCUGAAGAUGCUAGGAAGAAUCUGCUCCAUGCCUUUCCAUUCGCUUCUGGGGUUUCCUGCAAGCCCUGACAUUCCUUGGCUUGUAGAUACACCACCCCAGUUUCCGCCCCCAUCAUCACAUGGCCUCCUCUCUGUGUGUGCCUCUGCGUUCCCUCUAUUCUUCUUCUAAGGACACCGACACCAGUCAUAGUGGAUUAAGGGUCCACUCCUAACCAAUUACAUCUGCAACAACCCUAUUUCCAAAUAAAGUCACAUUC